UACAACAUUGUGUUGAUGCAUCAGAUCCCAUUAGAACUUCGCAGUUAAGCACACUCGAGCUAGAGUAGUACUGGGAUGGGUGACCGCCCGAGAAGUCCUAGUGUUUCAC
rnacentral:rRNA from 1 species